rnacentral:rRNA from 1 species
UCAAGCGAACAAGUGCAUGUGGUGGAUGCCUUGGCGAUCACAGGCGAUGAAGGACGCGGUAGCCUGCGAAAAGCUACGGGGAGCUGGCAAACGAGCUUUGAUCCGUAGAUGUCCGAAUGGGGAAACCCGGCCCUUUUGGGUCAUCCUAGACUGAAUACAUAGGUCUAGUGAAGCGAACGCGGUGAACUGAAACAUCUAAGUAACCGCAGGAAAAGAAAUCAACCGAGAUUCCCAAAGUAGUGGCGAGCGAAAUGGGAUGAGCCUUGCACUCUUUAUUUGUAUUGUUAGCCGAACGCUCUGGAAAGUGCGGCCAUAGCAGGUGAUAGCCCUGUAGGCGAAAACAGUAUGAAAGAACUAGGUGUGCGACAAGUAGGGCGGGACACGUGAAAUCCUGUCUGAAGAUGGGGGGACCAUCCUCCAAGGCUAAAUACUCGUGAUCGACCGAUAGUGAACCAGUACCGUGAGGGAAAGGCGAAAAGAACCCCGGGAGGGGAGUGAAAUAGAUCCUGAAACCGCAUGCAUACAAACAGUCGGAGCCUCGUAAGGGGUGACGGCGUACCUUUUGUAUAAUGGGUCAGCGACUUACGUUCAGUAGCAAGCUUAACCGUAUAGGGCAGGCGUAGCGAAAGCGAGUCCGAAUAGGGCGUUCAGUUGCUGGGCGUAGACCCGAAACCAGGUGAUCUAUCCAUGGCCAGGAUGAAGGUGCGGUAACACGUACUGGAGGUCCGAACCCACUAACGUUGAAAAGUUAGGGGAUGAGCUGUGGAUAGGGGUGAAAGGCUAAACAAACCUGGAAAUAGCUGGUUCUCUCCGAAAACUAUUUAGGUAGUGCCUCGUGUCUCACCUUCGGGGGUAGAGCACUGUCAUGGUUGGGGGGUCUAUUGCAGAUUACCCCGCCAUAGCAAACUCCGAAUACCGAAGAGUGCAAUCACGGGAGACAGACAUCGGGUGCUAACGUCCGGUGUCAAGAGGGAAACAACCCAGACCGCCAGCUAAGGUCCCCAAAUAUAGCUAAGUGGGAAACGAAGUGGGAAGGCUAAAACAGUCAGGAGGUUGGCUUAGAAGCAGCCACCCUUUAAAGAAAGCGUAAUAGCUCACUGAUCGAGUCGUCCUGCGCGGAAGAUGUAACGGGGCUAAGCUAUAUACCGAAGCUGCGGAUGCGAGCUUGCUCGCAUGGUAGGAGAGCGUUCCGUAAGCCUGCGAAGGUGCCUUGUAAAGGGUGCUGGAGGUAUCGGAAGUGCGAAUGCUGACAUGAGUAGCGAUAAAGGGGGUGAAAGGCCCCCUCGCCGUAAGCCCAAGGUUUCCUACGCAACGUUCAUCGGCGUAGGGUGAGUCGGCCCCUAAGGCGAGGCAGAAAUGCGUAGCUGAUGGGAAGCAGGUCAAUAUUCCUGCACCAUUGUUAGAUGCGAUGGGGGGACGGAUCGCGGAAGGUUGUCCGGGUGUUGGAAGUCCCGGUCGCUGCAUUGGAGAAGGCGCUUAGGCAAAUCCGGGCGCGUAAUUCAAGGGUGUGGCGCGAGCUCCUUCGGGAGCGAAGCAAUUGGAAGUGGUUCCAAGAAAAGCCUCUAAGCUUCAGUCUAACGAUGACCGUACCGCAAACCGACACAGGUGGGCGAGAUGAGUAUUCUAAGGCGCUUGAGAGAACUCGGGAGAAGGAACUCGGCAAAUUGGUACCGUAACUUCGGGAUAAGUACGCCCUUGUAGCUUGACUGGCCUGCGCCAGGAGGGUGAAGGGGUUGCAAUAAACUGGUGGCUGCGACUGUUUAAUAAAAACACAGCACUCUGCAAACACGAAAGUGGACGUAUAGGGUGUGACGCCUGCCCGGUGCCGGAAGAUUAAAUGAUGGGGUGCAAGCUCUUGAUUGAAGUCCCGGUAAACGGCGGCCGUAACUAUAACGGUCCUAAGGUAGCGAAAUUCCUUGUCGGGUAAGUUCCGACCUGCACGAAUGGCGUAACGAUGGCCACACUGUCUCCUCCCGAGACU